AAACCUUAAUGGAAAAUUCUUUUCCAUUAUUUCACUCUGCCAUAGCCAUGGGCUUAAGGACUCAAUCUUUCGAUCAUCAUAGGACUACUCCUCUUAUCUAUCGAAGUUGAUAGAUCCCAUCUUGGUACGAUCUGGUUUCUAUAAUGAAUAUGCUACAGCCAACAUACAUCUUAGAGUUUCAAAUGGCUAGAAGAUCUAGUUAUGAUAUAAUCAAACUAUAACACACUCAAAAUAAACUGUUGAUGUACCUCAGGUC
rnacentral:lncRNA from 1 species